rnacentral:rRNA from 1 species
GCAUUCGCCCUUCGGGGUGCACCAGGCGCGAAAACUUUACAAUGCCGGCAACGGCGAUAAGGGGACCUCGAGUGCCAGGUUACAAAUCUGGCUGUCGUGAUGCCUAAAAAGCAUUGCAUAGCAAGGGCCGGGCAAGACCGGUGCCAGCCGCCGCGGUAACACCGGCGGCUCGAGUGGUAACCGUUAUUAUUGGGUCUAAAGGGUCUGUAGCCGGCCGGAUAAGUCUCUUGGGAAAUCCAGCAGCUCAACUGUUGGGCUUUCAGGAGAUACUGUCUGGCUCGAGGCCGGGAGAGGUGAGAGGUACUUCAGGGGUAGGGGUGAAAUCUUGUAAUCCUUGAAGGACCACCAGUGGCGAAGGCGUCUCACCAGAACGGACCUGACGGCAAGGGACGAAAGCUAGGGGCACGAACCGGAUUAGAUACCCGGGUAGUCCUAGCCGUAAACGAUACUCGCUAGGUGUCGGCCACGGUGCGACCGUUGUCGGUGCCGUAGGGAAGCCGUGAAGCGAGCCACCUGGGAAGUACGGCCGCAAGGCUGAAACUUAAAGGAAUUGGCGGGGGAGCAC